rnacentral:lncRNA from 1 species
AAAAAACACUAAUUGAUGGGUUAAUUUUGGGAAUCUUAUAUUUACCUUUGCUCAGAGAAAAGUCUACCUCUUUAAAAUUUUUUUUAGUGUUUAUUUUAUUAUUUUUGAGAGAGAGAGAGAGAGAGUACAAGCAGGGUAGGGGCAGAGAGAGAGGGAGUCAUAGAAUCCAAAGCAGGCUCCAGGCUCUGAGCUGUCAGCACAGAGCCUGAUUCAGGGCUUGAAUUCACAAACCAUGAGAUCAUGACCUGAACUGAAGUCGGAUGCUCAACAACUGAGCCACCCAGGUGCCCUAAAAGUCUACCUCUUCUAUGUAUUUACAAUCUGAGGGAGACACACUGAGGCAGAUAGACACCAAAAGGAAGUAGACACAACUAAUUAACAAACACUGGAUAAACACAAAUAGAUAAGAGUAAAUAUUGGCUUCGAAUUCUAUCACAUUUCACAGAAGAGAACCUUGUUCCCACAGACAGAGAGCCAUCAUUAUGUCCCAGCAUCCCUCGAUUCCGCAGGGAUUGAAAGUCCCCAAGGAAAUGUGAUGUGACCUGUGAUGUACCAUUUUGGACCAGUCAGAAGGUGUGAAGGGCUUCUAGGACUUUGUUUAAAAGGGCCAAUGGAAAUGAGGAAGGAGGAGAGGCAGUGUUUUGGCCCCUGAUUGGUCGAAGAGAGUGACAAAAUGGAGAAAAGGAGGAAAGAACCAUCAAAUCCUGCAGCUGCAUCUGGAAGAAGAAGACUAAGAUGUUCCAGGUUUAAUUACCAGAAUGUGGGAGGCGACCUUGGAAGAGCAGUUCCAGGAGCUGAAUGCCUGGAUAUCGAAGAAAGAGAGUCAUGCACAGAGCUAAGUCAGACCGCAAAAGAGAACAAAGCUGUGGCAACAGGGAGACUCCUCAAGUUCUUUCUGUCUAUGGACUUCAAAGUUCCAUUUGUUCAGAAGGAGACCAAUUUUGGGUCAGAGGUUGUUUCUGAGCAUGCAGUGAAGGUGGCGCCCUUACUCUCAGCUUCCACAUGGCCAAUUUGAACAUGACUUUUGAUGACCUGGCUUUGACUUAACCUCAGUGUACUCUUCAUUUCACCUCUGCCACUAAUGCCUGAAUCCCUAAGGCGUGUCACCCUUCACUUACCAUUGUGCCAGCUCACCUUUCCAGGACAGGCCACCAUAGAGCUUUGACAGCUCAUAGACCAGAUAC